UACGAAGGGGGCUAGCGUUGCUCGGAAUGACUGGGCGUAAAGGGCGCGUAGGCGGAUGGUACAGUCAGAUGUGAAAUUCCCGGGCUUAACCUGGGGGCUGCAUUUGAUACGUAUUGUCUUGAGUUCGGAAGAGGGUCGUGGAAUUUCCAGUGUAGAGGUGAAAUUCGUAGAUAUUGGAAAGAACACCGGUGGCGAAGGCGGCGACCUGGUCCGACACUGACGCUGAGGCGCGAGAGCGUGGGGAGCAAACAGG
rnacentral:rRNA from 1 species